UACGUAGGUGGCAAGCGUUGUCCGGAUUUACUGGGUGUAAAGGGCGUGCAGCCGGAGAGACAAGUCAGAUGUGAAAUCCACGGGCUCAACCCGUGAACUGCAUUUGAAACUGUUUCCCUUGAGUGUCGGAGAGGUAAUCGGAAUUCCUUGUGUAGCGGUGAAAUGCGUAGAUAUAAGGAAGAACUCCGAUUGCGAAGGCAGCAUACCGGCGCCCAACUGACGCUGAAGCACGAAAGCGUGGGUAUCGAACAGG
rnacentral:rRNA from 1 species